rnacentral:tRNA from 1 species
AUUCUAAUAGCUUAUUUAGAGCGUGAUAUUGAAGAUAUUAAGGAGAUUAUUUAAUCUUAGAAUA